rnacentral:rRNA from 1 species
CUUGGGCUACACACGUGCUACAAUGGUCGGUACAGAGGGUUGCCAAGCCGCGAGGUGGAGCUAAUCCCACAAAACCGAUCGUAGUCCGGAUCGCAGUCUGCAACUCGACUGCGUGAAG